GAUGAACGCUGGCGGCGUGCCUAAUACAUGCAAGUAGAACGCUGAAGGAGGAGCUUGCUCUUCUGGAUGAGUUGCGAACGGGUGAGUAACGCGUAGGUGACCUGCCUGGUAGCGGGGGAUAACUAUUGGAAACGAUAGCUAAUACCGCAUGACAACAGUUAUUGCAUGAUAACUGUUUAAAAGGGGCAACUGCUCCACUACCAGAUGGACCUGCGUUGUAUUAGCUAGUUGGUGAGGUAACGGCUCACCAAGGCGACGAUACAUAGCCGACCUGAGAGGGUGAUCGGCCACACUGGGACUGAGACACGGCCCAGACUCCUACGGGAGGCAGCAGUAGGGAAUCUUCGGCAAUGGACGGAAGUCUGACCGAGCAACGCCGCGUGAGUGAAGAAGGGUUUCGGAUCGUAAAGCUCUGUUGUAAGAGAAGAACGAGUGUGAGAGUGGAAAGUUCACACUGUGACGGUAUCUUACCAGAAAGGGACGGCUAACUACGUG
rnacentral:rRNA from 1 species